GCGGGCGUAGUUCAGUGGUAGAACGUCAGCUUCCCAAGCUGAAUGUCGUGGGUUCGAAUCCCAUCGCCCGCU
rnacentral:tRNA from 2 species